CGCGUAGGCGGUCCGAUAAGUCGGCUGUGAAAGUCAGGGGCUCAACCCUUGAAAGCCGGCCGAUACUGUCGGACUAGAGUCCGGAAGAGGCGAGUGGAAUUCCCGGUGUAGCGGUGAAAUGCGCAGAUAUCGGGAGGAACACCAAUGGCGAAGGCAGCUCGCUGGGACGGUACUGACGCUGAGGCGCGAAAGCGUGGGGAGCAAACA
rnacentral:rRNA from 1 species